GACGAACGCUGGCGGCGUGCUUAACACAUGCAAGUCGUACGGUAAGGCCCUUUCGGGGGUACACGAGUGGCGAACGGGUGAGUAACACGUGUGUAACCUGCCCACAACUUUGGGAUAACGCUAGGAAACUGGUGCUAAUACUGGAUAUGUGCUCCUGCUGCAUGGUGGGGGUUGGAAAGCUCCGGCGGUUGUGGAUGGACUCGCGGCCUAUCAGCUUGUUGGUGGGGUAGUGGCCUACCAAGGCGGCGACGGGUAGCCGGCCUGAGAGGGUGACCGGCCACAUUGGGACUGAGAUACGGCCCAGACUCCUACGGGAGGCAGCAGUGGGGAAUAUUGCACAAUGGGCGCAAGCCUGAUGCAGCAACGCCGCGUGCGGGAUGACGGCCUUCGGGUUGUAAACCGCUUUCAGCAGGGACGAAGCUUUUUGUGACGGUACCUGCAGAAGAAGCACCGGCUAACUACGUG
rnacentral:rRNA from 1 species